rfam:Stegodyphus mimosarum contig56114, whole genome shotgun sequence.
GCCUUUGUGGUGUAGUGGUAAACACGCUCGACGCAUAACCGAGAGGUCCGUGGCUCGAUUCCCGGCGAAGGCG